rnacentral:rRNA from 1 species
CAAGCUGUGAUGGGGAGCGAAAUUAAAGUAGCGAAGUUGCCGAUGUCACACUGCCGAGAAAAGCUUCUAGUGAGUAUUUAACUGCCCGUACCGCAAACCGACACAGGUAGUCGAGGAGAGAAUCCUAAGGUGAGCGAGUGAACUCUCGUUAAGGAACUCGGCAAAAUGACCCCGUAACUUCGGGAGAAGGGGUGCUGGUCGCAAGACCAGCCGCAGUGAAAAGGCCCAGGCGACUGUUUAUCAAAAACACAGGUUUCUGCAAAAUCGUAAGAUGAAGUAUAGGGGCUGACGCCUGCCCGGUGCUGGAAGGUUAAAAGGAAGAGUUAGCUUCGGCGAAGCCCUGAAUUGAAGCCCCAGUAAACGGCGGCCGUAACUAUAACGGUCCUAAGGUAGCGAAAUUCCUUGUCGGGUAAGUUCCGACCCGCACGAAAGGCGUAACGAUCUGGGCACUGUCUCAACGAGAGACUCGGUGAAAUUGAAUUGCCUGUGAAGAUGCAGGCUACCCGCGACAGGACGGAAAGACCCCAUGGAGCUUUACUGUAGCUUGAUAUUGAGUGUUUGUACUACUUGUACAGGAUAGGUAGGAGCCGUAGAAGCCGGGACGCUAGUUUCGGUGGAGGCAUUGGUGGGAUACUACCCUUGUAUUAUGACCACUCUAACCCGCACCACUGAUCGUGGUGGGAGACAGUGUCAGGUGGGCAGUUUGACUGGGGCGGUCGCCUCCCAAAAGGUAACGGAGGCGCCCAAAGGUUCGCUCAGAAUGGUUGGAAAUCAUUCGCAGAGUGUAAAGGCACAAGCGAGCUUGACUGCGAGACAGACAGGUCGAGCAGGGACGAAAGUCGGGCUUAGUGAUCCGGUGGUUCCGCAUGGAAGGGCCAUCGCUCAACGGAUAAAAGCUACCCUGGGGAUAACAGGCUUAUCUCCCCCAAGAGUCCACAUCGACGGGGAGGUUUGGCACCUCGAUGUCGGCUCAUCGCAUCCUGGGGCUGUAGUCGGUCCCAAGGGUUGGGCUGUUCGCCCAUUAAAGCGGUACGCGAGCUGGGUUCAGAACGUCGUGAGACAGUUCGGUCCCUAUCCGUCGCGGGCGUAGGAAAUUUGAGAGGACCUGUCCUUAGUACGAGAGGACCGGGAUGGACAUACCGCUGGUGUACCAGUUGUUCCGCCAGGAGCAUCGCUGGGUAGCUAUGUAUGGAUGAGAUAAACGCUGAAAGCAUCUAAGUGUGAAACUCGCCUCAAGAUGAGAUUUCCCAUUCCUUUGGAAGUAAGACCCCACAGAGAUGAUGUGGUAGAUAGGAUGGAAGUGGAAGUGCGGUGACGCAUGGAGCGGACCAUUACUAAUCGGUCGAGGACUUAACCAAG